GUGAGGAAUAUUGGUCAAUGGGCGGGAGCCUGAACCAGCCAAGUCGCGUGAAGGAAGAAGGAUCUAUGGUUCGUAAACUUCUUUUGCCGGGGAAUAAAGUGCAGGACGUGUCCUGUUUUGUAUGUACCCUGAGAAUAAGGAUCGGCUAACUCCGUGCCAGCAGCCGCAGUAAUACGGAGGCUCCGAGCGUUAUACGGAUUUAUUGGGUUUAAAGGGUGCGUAGGUGGUUUGCUAAGUCAGUGGUGAAAGUUUGCAGCUUAACUGUAAAAAUGCCGUUGAAACUGUCGGACUUGAGUGUCAAUGAGGUAGGCGGAAUGCGUGGUGUAGCGGUGAAAUGCAUAGAUAUCACGCAGAACUCCGAUUGCGAAGGCAGCUUACUAAGCUAAAACGGACACUGAAGCACGAAAGCGUGGAGAUCAAACAGGAUUAGAAACCCGGGUAGUCC
rnacentral:rRNA from 1 species